rnacentral:rRNA from 1 species
GCCAGCUGCCAUAUCACCCUGCAACUCAGAACUGGCAACCCACUGAAGCUAAUCAGGUGAGAGCCUGGUCAGUACCUGGAUGGGAGACCUCCUGGGAAAAACUAAGGUUGCUGCUGGAA